AUUGAACGCUGGCGGCAUGCCUUACACAUGCAAGUCGAACGGCAGCACGGGAGCAAUCCUGGUGGCGAGUGGCGAACGGGUGAGUAAUAUAUCGGAACGUGCCCAGUCGUGGGGAUAACGUAGCGAAAGCUACGCUAAUACCGCAUACGAUCUAUGGAUGAAAGCGGGGGAUCGCAAGACCUCGCGCGAUUGGAGCGGCCGAUAUCAGAUUAGGUAGUUGGUGAGGUAAAGGCUCACCAAGCCGACGAUCUGUAGCUGGUCUGAGAGGACGACCAGCCACACUGGGACUGAGACACGGCCCAGACUCCUACGGGAGGCAGCAGUGGGGAAUUUUGGACAAUGGGCGCAAGCCUGAUCCAGCAAUGCCGCGUGCAGGAUGAAGGCCUUCGGUUGGUUAAACUGACUUUUGUACGGUAACGAAACGGUAGAGGCU
rnacentral:rRNA from 1 species